GAUGAAGAACGUAUCGAAACGCGAUAUGUAAUGUGAAUUGCAGAAUUCAGUGAAUCAUCGAAUCUUUGAACGCACAUGGCGCCUUCCAGUAUCCUGGGAGGCAUGCCUGUCCGAGCGUCGUUUCAACCCUCGAGCCCUCGUGGCCCGGCGUUGGGGAUCUGCCACGGCAGGCCUCGAAAUACAGUGGCGGACCCGUUAGGCCCUUCCUUUGCGUAGUAGCAUCAGCCUCGCAUCGGGAGCCGGCGGGCUCUCCUGCCUCUAAACCCCCCAACAAGCCCGCUCCGGCGGCACCAAGGUUGACCUCGGAUCAGGUAGGAAUACCCGCUGAACUUAAGCAUAUCAAUAAGCGGAGGA
rnacentral:misc_RNA from 1 species